rnacentral:rRNA from 1 species
GAUGAACGCUGGCGGCGUGCCUAAUACAUGCAAGUCGAGCGAACGGACGAGAAGCUUGCUUCUCUGAUGUUAGCGGCGGACGGGUGAGUAACACGUGGAUAGCCUACCUAUAAGACUGGGAUAACUUCGGGAAACCGGAGCUAAUACCGGAUAAUAUUUUGAACCGCAUGGUUCAAAAGUGAAAGACGGUCUUGCUGUCACUUAUAGAUGGAUCCGCGCUGCAUUAGCUAGUUGGUAAGGUAACGGCUUACCAAGGCAACGAUGCAUAGCCGACCUGAGAGGGUGAUCGGCCACACUGGAACUGAGACACGGUCCAGACUCCUACGGGAGGCAGCAGUAGGGAAUCUUCCGCAAUGGGCGAAAGCCAGACGGAGCAACGCCGCGUGAGUGAUGAAGGUCUUCGGAUCGUAAAACUCUGUUAUUAGGGAAGAACAUAUGUGUAAGUAACUGUGCACAUCUUGACGGUACCUAAUCAGAAAGCCACGGCUAACUACGUG